AUUGGACAUGGGGGGAACCCUGAUCCAGCCAUGCCGCGUGUGUGAAGAAGGCCUUUUGGUUGUAAAGCACUUUAAGCGAGGAGGAGGCGCUCUAGGUUAAUACCUUAGAAGCGUGGACGUUACUCGCAGAAUAAGCACCGGCUAACUCUGUGCCAGCAGCCGCGGUAAUACAGAGGGUGCGAGCGUUAAUCGGAUUUACUGGGCGUAAAGCGUACGUAGGCGGCUUUUUAAGUCGGAUGUGAAAUCCCCGAGCUUAACUUGGGAAUUGCAUUCGAUACUGGGAAGCUAGAGUAUGGGAGAGGAUGGUAGAAUUCCAGGUGUAGCGGUGAAAUGCGUAGAGAUCUGGAGGAAUACCGAUGGCGAAGGCAGCCAUCUGGCCUAAUACUGACGCUGAGGUACGAAAGCAUGGGGAGCAAACAGGAUUAGAUACCCUGGUAGUCCAUGCCGUAAACGAUGUCUACUAGCCGUUGGGGCCUUUGAGGCUUUAGUGGCGCAGCUAACGCGAUAAGUAGACCGCCUGGGGAGUACNGUCGCAAGACUANNACUCAAAUGAAUUGACAGNGGCCCGCACAAGCGGUGGAGCAUGUGGUUUAAUNCGAUGC
rnacentral:rRNA from 1 species